UGGGGAAUAUUGCACAAUGGGCGCAAGCCUGAUGCAGCCAUGCCGCGUGUAUGAAGAAGGCCUUCGGGUUGUAAAGUACUUUCAGCGGGGAGGAAGGCGAUAAGGUUAAUAACCUUGUCGAUUGACGUUACCCGCAGAAGAAGCACCGGCUAACUCCGUGCCAGCAGCCGCGGUAAUACGGAGGGUGCAAGCGUUAAUCGGAAUUACUGGGCGUAAAGCGCACGCAGGCGGUCUGUCAAGUCGGAUGUGAAAUCCCCGGGCUCAACCUGGGAACCGCAUUCGAAACUGGCAGGCUAGAGUCUUGUAGAGGGGGGUAGAAUUCCAGGUGUAGCGGUGAAAUGCGUAGAGAUCUGGAGGAAUACCGGUGGCGAAGGCGGCCCCCUGGACAAAGACUGACGCUCAGGUGCGAAAGCGUGGGGAGCAAACA
rnacentral:rRNA from 1 species